GUCAGUGUGGCCGAGUGGUUAAGGCGACAGACUAGAACGUACCACAAAUCGUGGUUCUUCAUAAAUCUGUUGGGUUCGCCCGCACAGGUUCAAAUCCUGUCGCUGACG